UAACUCUCCAUUCUCUCUUUUUCUCCUGCACAUAUAACCACAGGAGCGCACGGAGCAGGCACACAUACACUCACUCCAACGCCAUAGAACCAUGUCAGACUCAGAGACUGCAGCUCCUGCCGAGACCCCUGUCCCAGCACCCUGUGUGGCCAUCAAGGCAGAUUUAGACAAAUGUGUAAAGGAGAAUGGUGAGGAAGCGUGUAAGGAGCUAAUGGAGGUGUUUGCCGCCUGUGUGAAGAGCAAUGCUGAGGCAUCAUGAGCAGUUCAACAUGCAGGAAAAGGGUUUACUGCACUGAGUCCUCCACCUUCCCAGCAUUCCCUGCAGCUCGUGGCACUGGACUAAAUGAUGGGGUUUGGGGCAGCAAAGACCAUAUUUGUGUCUCUUUCCUUCUCUACCUCCCCCCACCACCGUGAACCUCAAAUGGAUUUCUCCAACCACCAACCUCCCCUCCCCUUUUGUACUGAUCUGAUGUGUAGACAGUUUGAGAGUUGAUGUAAA